CGAACGCUGGCGGCAUGCCUAACACAUGCAAGUCGAACGAGACCUUCGGGUCUAGUGGCGCACGGGUGCGUAACGCGUGGGAACCUGCCCUUAGGCUCGGAAUAACUCCCCGAAAGGGGUGCUAAUACCGGAUAAUGUCUUCGGACCAAAGAUUUAUCGCCUUUGGAUGGGCCCGCGUUGGAUUAGCUAGUUGGUAGGGUAAAAGCCUAUCAAGGCGACGAUCCAUAGCUGGUCUGAGAGGAUGAUCAGCCACACUGGGACUGAGACACGGCCCAGACUCCUACGGGAGGCAGCAGUGGGGAAUAUUGGACAAUGGGCGAAAGCCUGAUCCAGCAAUGCCGCGUGAGUGAUGAAGGCCUUAGGGUUGUAAAGCUCUUUUACCCGGGAUGAUAAUGACAGUACCGGGAGAAUAAGCUCCGACUAACUCCGUG
rnacentral:rRNA from 1 species